rnacentral:lncRNA from 1 species
CUCUAUUUGUGCCCCCCCCAUAAAUUGGACCCUCCCCCAUAAUAGCUGCCCCCCUCCAUACCUGCCCCCCAAAUUCCUCGGGGGGGCCCCCAGCGGCCGCCCCCCCCCCCUCCUCCUCCUCCUUUUCGGGGGGGGCUCCGUGGGGGGGCUGCGGGGGGGGGGGAGGGGAGGGGGGGGCGCUCCCAACGCUGUGCCCCCCCCCGCUGGCACCGCCCCCCCCCCGUCCUUCUCGGGGGGUUCGUUCUCAGCAUUGCCGGGGGUGGGGGCGGCGGGGGGGCGAAUGGUGUCGUCCUCGAGCAGGAAGGUGAGGUGGCUCUGGCGGUAAUUAUCCCCAUAGGAAUCCAGAACCUUCAUCAGGAACCUGCGCUCCUGCUGCAGCCGCCGGGUCAGCCGCUGCACCCAUUGUAGGCGGCACAGAGCGCGGGCGUUCACCUGCUCCAGCUCCCUGCAGCGCCGCCCCAGCGCCGCCAGCUUCCUGCGCGCCAUUUCCUCGCGCCGCCGCCCUUCCUCCCGCCGCUGCUCCUCCUCCUCGUCCUCCUCCUCUCCCCCCCCGCCGGGCCCACCGGGACCCCCCCCGGCUUCGAACUCCACCUCGGCCUCCAGUUCCCCCUCCAGGAUGUGGCCUCCGAAGAGGGGGGGCAGCGCCAGCUCCGAGCCGGGAGGCGCCGAGAACUCCUCGAAGCCGACAGCUGCCAUCGUCC